rnacentral:ncRNA from 1 species
UUUUUGUAAGGCAAUAAUUAGCAACUCAGUGAAGAGGGUGUAGUUAGCCUUGCUGAGACCGGGUUAGAUGUGUAGUUUUUGUUAUACGGGAUACUGUAUAAUAGAGGCUUCCUGUUGAUAGCGAUUGAUACGGGAUAGAGACAGAUGUCUUAAAUGCAAGAUUCGGGUGCCGAUCUAUACGAGCAAAUAGUAAAUCCAACGAGUCGGAGCGACAAUCGCAUAAGUUCACGUGAAAGCGGGGACUGACGCGGCUCUUUCGCGCCACAUAGGGAUAUGUGGGGAACGCUAAGAGAAUUCCAAAACAAGCUCUUGCCGAUGACCCGGAGAAAUCCGGCUAUAAGACAAAACAGGAUUGUGCGAGUAACAUAGGGGCUAAAUUUGAUUUUUCGAGAGUUGUCGAAUUACAAGUUUGAAAAAUUCUGAAUAACGUGUGAAAGUUGGGGGUAUCAUUCCCCUCAGAACGUAGGGCGAAAGCCGAGGUGUACAGGUUAUGACGACGGUCAGAAGCUUCAGGUACAUCCCCUCUGUGACUGAACAUUGCGUAGUAUAGGUUUAGGUAGGGUGAAGAUCCGCUAAUUAUUGUAUUUUUAU